CCUACGGGGCGCAGCAGUGGGGGAUAUUGGACAAUGGGGGGAACCCUGAUCCAGCGACGCCGCGUGAGUGAAGAAGUAUUUCGGUAUGUAAAGCUCUGUCAGCAGGGAAGAAAGAAAUGACGGUACCUGACCAAGAAGCCCCGGCUAACUACGUGCCAGCAGCCGCGGUAAUACGUAGGGGGCAAGCGCUAUCCGGAUUUACUGGGUGUAAAGGGAGCGUAGACGGCAGUGCAAGUCUGGAGUGAAAGGCGGGGGCUCAACCCCCGGACUGCUCUGGAAACUGUACGGCUGGAGUGCAGGAGAGG
rnacentral:rRNA from 1 species